GACCAUGUAGUCUAGUGAUCGAGAUUCCUGACUUUCGCUCAGGCGGCCCGGAUUCGAUUCCCAGCAUUGUUG
rnacentral:tRNA from 1 species